AGUUCGUCAAAUAACGUCGCCAUCUUCAAAAUCAUGUUGGACUUUUCGUUUUUCACAAGAAGAAUAUUUAGUUUAGUGAAGAAUUGUGCCAUCAGAAAACUACAACGGAGCCCCGGAAGAUAGUGUAAAUCACUCGGUAAUAUUUGGAUGACCAAGUUCCGGAAGUGUGGGCUCCCGAUGCCGAUUCCAUGAAUAUUGUUAGUCAGAUGCCAGAAGUGAAGGAUAAUUAAGUAAUCUAAAAAUGCAGUGGCAUACGUAGGACCGCGCAUAACUUGCAAACCGAGGGUACGAUUUUGGUCGUCUUAGUUUUGUUCUGUUAGUUUUCACCCAAGGAAGGUUUAUGAGGCAAAAAACAUGGAAAAAUAGAGUUUUUGAAAAUCGAUCCAUACAUUUUGACCAGGGAUUUGGUCUUGCCUAGAAACUUGAAACGACAAAAAACGCAGUAGGCAAGACAAAGUUUGCCGGGUAUACAGCUAGUAAGAUAUAAAUUGACUUGUACCUUAUAUUACGAAAUAAAUAUACAGUUCCAAUUCGCGACUACGAAGGUAAAAGAGAUUCCAACUCUUUGUCGCUCUAAUGAAAAACCUCGUAAGGAACUGUCAGAAUGUGCGUGAAAAAAAAGCAAAAAAUAUUUCCCUCUCGUUUUUUCUCACGUAAACCUUCACGCACAUUCUGCAACUUCGUAGUCGCGAAUACUACAGUUGUUUA